rnacentral:lncRNA from 1 species
GCCCAAUAAACGCGCGUGCGCGGAAGAAUUAACCGUUUCCAGAGAUUGAGAACGACUACGAUGAGGUUCCGUGUUUCUGGUGCAGGUAGCCAGUGAACUGAGCGAAGAUCAGCGCAAGGUUUCUUGUAGGCCUAUGUGGACAGGAGGAGCCGCUGCUGGCCUUUAGGACUGGAAAGUAUGCGGUCUGUGGCCACAAUCCCACCUCUUAGCCUGGGAACGGAAGCAGGGAGUCGCGAGGGAAAACAAGCAGACAAUCAGAAAUCUUGGCCUGAAUGAAAGCCACAUUUAGCUCAACCUUGGCAGCCUCUCCUUCAACAACAUCAUUCAAUGUAGCUAUACACCCUUUCAGCACAAAUACAGGCAGUGAAAGUGAUAGUGGACCAGACUUCAUAUGCUCGAAGAUCACUGCUCUUCACUGACCAGCUGACAACCUGUCCAGAGCCAGCUGAUCUAUGCCAAAGUUCUACUUUGAAAAGGGCUUUUCAUGCUAGAAAGACAAACUGUGUCAAAACAAAAGCAAGGUACAAGUGUUUGCAUAUCAGCGUGAAGGUGUUUUCGCAUGAUGGUGAGGAUGGGUGGUUCUGUUUGGGUAGGUACCCACAGAUGUGUGUCAAUCAUAAGACAGGAAGUGGCACUGAACGUUUACACCCUCACACAUUCACACACCCACAUUGUACUCUUUUAAAAGACAUACAUUGCAAAUAUGUCAUGUGUAGGUUUUUACUCUGCAGCUGCAAUCCUGUUUUACUUGUUUAGAUCAUAGAUGUUUUUUUUUUUAAUUGUUUAUUCCCAUUAACUUUGAGUUUUAUAUGAAAAUCGAAAUUUCCAGUGUUUAAUUAUAUACACAGAUCUAAACGGAUUCUGCCGCUAUGUUGUGCACCAUUGCUGUGGAUCCUAGAGAUUACAUAACAACCCUGCCAAUGGUUUUUAUGUAGAAACAAAAAUAUAGAAGUGUCCAUUCACACACAUAACACUUUUUUGCAUGCUUUCAUCCGCUGCUUUUACUUUUGAUUUUAAUAGGCAAGCAGUUGCAAUGUUUCACUGUCGCUCUUGUGUUUCGAAUCUUGAUGUUCGAAUCUCAUGCUGUCAAUAUAACAGUG